UUAUUUUUGUUUUGCUCAUUUUAUUUUGUUUUUUGUUUGUUGUUUGUUUCUUUGUCUUAUUGUCCAAAGCACACCCAGAAUACAAAAAUGGAGAACAAAGUUGGAGCAAGAGAACAAGAGAAUAAAGAAGGAAGG
rnacentral:ribozyme from 13 species